AAAGUAUCUAAAACAUUUAUUAAAUUAUUUUUGUCAAGUAUCAUCUUUACUCAUAGAUACUACCAAAGAGCAACCUAGACAGUAAAAUUAGUUCCCGUAUCUGAGGACUCCAAAUUAAUAAAUUUUAAUAUAUUAAUAUUAAACAGAGCAUGCAUUUUUAGAAGGAUGCAAAUUUCUACUCCUUCAUAUCCAGAGAUUAAAUUCAGCAAAGCUAAUGGACUUGUUAACACUUACACAGAACAUGGAAAUAGGUCCUGACUACAUACAUACUCCACAUAACUACUGAAAACUUAAAACCCAGUUGCUUAUUUCAUGGCAACCUGGUAGAAUAAUUAUGUAAUAAACGACAAUAAGAAAAAGCCACUUAUCAUAUAGUCUAGUCUUUAUUGAAAGACUUACUUCAACUGUUGUUUACAGCUUUGGCUUAAGUUGGCCAUUUUAGCCUCUCACUGCCAGCAGACAUAAAAAUCAAGUGGGAAUGGCACGGGGGUUGGGAGUGAAAAUACUAGUAGAGAAAUUAUGAGAACAAAGAAUAUGGCAGUCAGUCAGAAACACAUCACCAAAAUAAAUCUCAAAAUAAUUAUGAAAUAAAAAACAUUUCCUUGCAUGCCCAAAAAGUCUCUGCUGAUGUUUUUGAUGAACGGGGUGGGGAGCAACGAUUCUUAGGCUUAAGUUGGAUCAAGAUAGCAUUGGGUCAUGUUAUAAAAUCAUCUGUUAGCUCAACAGCCAUACUUUUAAUUAAUUCAUUUAUUUUUUGAGAUGGAGUCUCGCUCUGUCGCCCAGGAUAAUUUUAUUAAAUCAUAGAAUAUACAGUCAGGAAACACUACAGCUAUAUUUAGCUGUUAGUUAUCUCAAUAAGCUACUUAAUUUACUGGCAGACCAAAACAGGCAUACUAAGCAUUUUUAUCAAUUAAAAAAAGUCUUCAGUUGUUCAAGUUUCACAUAUACUCAUAAAAUUUUUAACUCGGGGGCACAGUUAACAUAAUUUAUUGAGUGUUCUCCCUAUAAAAUAUAAAUUAACUUUUCCAAAAACAUUCCUCAAAGAUACUAUAAACAAAAGAAAUAAGGGUAUAUUUUAUAACAGAAGAGUGUAAUAGAUGACCAUUAUGGUAAAACUAAGGUGCCAUAAAAAAUUUGGCCCAGCUAUGAAUUUCAGACCCUAUGAAUUUUUAUGUUGAAUACAUUUGGCUAUAUUGCUAAGUGGGAAAAGGAGGAAAGUAAUACCAAAAUUAUUGUGACCACCAAUUUAUAAAAUCAUUAUUUUAAAGCUAAUCGUAAAACUUCAAAUGUUUAGAAAACAGUAAUUUGUGGGUACUAAUCGCAUCUUACUAUGUAACUGUAAAAGGCUAUUUUCUCUUUGGUGCCCAGGCCAGCAUUUUGAAUACAUUGCCAAAACAUUUGCACUCCCUAGCUCUGACAAUUCAAAUACAUAGGAUUUUAUCUAUUUUACAUUCCUGUUUGAUAGAAAUUUGAGGCAAAUUUUACCCACACAGCCUGAAAAAUACCUUGAAAGCAAACCUCGGUCUUCUGCAUCUUCCAAUUGAUUCCUUUACAAACUCUGCACACAUACAACUUAAGCCUCUGCUCAGGCUUAUUAUACCAUGCACACUGCCCACAAGGAAAAAAAUUAAUUGAAAAUAAAAGCCACAACUCUGUGUACUAUUUAAACUGAAUAUCCAAUUAUAAAUUGGUACAUUGAAGUGUCUAAAUAAGAUGUUUUUAGCAAUCUUGUUAAAAAAAUUCUUGGGCAAAAUAUAUCUUAAUUUUUAAAAACACCCCAAGAUUUUUAAAAAACACUUGUACUAUACAACUUAUAGUAACCUUGAAAUUGGUUUACAAGGUUUUAAUCAAGGUAUUUACAUACCAAGUAAUGUAAAGCAAAAAAAAAAAAAAAAAAAAACAAAAACAAAAAACUAAUUCCCAAUGACAUUUUAGAACAUACUAAUGCAUCAAAGAUUGUAUGAAAUUAAAAUUAAGGCUUUUUCUGCACAAUUUGUGUAAUUUUAAUUUUACAUAGUAGCCAACCUUGGAAAUGUCAGUCUUAACAUUCUGAUCAAUCCACUG
rnacentral:lncRNA from 10 species